rnacentral:misc_RNA from 1 species
GGCGCGUCGUGCAUCUUGGCCGAUGUUGAGCUGAAAACAAGGAGCGCACGUUUAUUCUAUGCGCACGUCUUUUGUUGUGCGAAGUCUUGUAGUUUCAGUUGCUUCGUAUUUCUGUGCUUAUCUCCGUCCCGCGGAGGUACCGUGCUUGGCGCCGAGACAAUGGUCAACGACGUAGCUUUGUUUGUGUUUUCGCUCUUCGACACGGGAGCUCUGCUAUUCCUUACCGUUUACGUCGUGAUUACACUUUCUGAUUUAGAAUGCGACUACCUCAACGCUCAGCAAUGCUGUUCCAAGCUGAAUGGGUGGGUCCUACCAGAGGUGAUCGCGCAGGCCAUCCUGACCGUUCUGCUGUUUUUCGUCAACUUCCAUUGGAUUUUGUUUGCACUCAAUGUCCCCAUGGUCGUGUGGCAGGUUUACAAGUACCUCUCGGUACCUGACUGCAACUUCGGCGUGUAUGACCCAACGGAGAUCCACAACCGGGGCAACCUCAAGCGGCAUCUGCGAGACUCCAUGAUCCGUCUGGCCUUCUACCUCAUCUUCUUUUUCAUCUAUCUCUACUGUAUGAUCAUCGCCUUGCUGACGUCAAAUCCCGACACAAGGCGGGAGACCUACUAGGAGGUGUGAACCAGAUUUCUUCUCCUUUUCAGUAUCUCCCAAAUACAAAUGGAGCAUCUGUCCCGCGGACCGCGUCAGAGAAGCUCCCAUUUCAAGAGCCAGAGUCAAGGAGAUCUUGCCACAAGCCUGUUUGUGGUUUGUGCACCUGCACAAGAGGGGUUGGCGGCCACUGCCAGGCUCAAGGAAGUCAACGGAACUGGUUGUCUCAACAGUCGGCAAUACUCUCAUGUUGUUUUCAUGCCGAAUUGCAUUUUUUUUUCCCUCUCUCUUAUCGUUUCACUAGGUUUACGGCCCUCUUCAUUUCAAACCAUGCCUGCCCCGUGCCAUCGGAAACGCCUGCUUCAGUGUGGCAGCUCGUGUGCCCUGGUUCUAGAGCUUGACACUUCAGUGAAAUGGCGUGUUCCUUCCUUUGAGACCUCUGAAGUGAAGACACUUUUCAGCUGUCAUGGCAAUUCGGGAGUGUUGGCAUGCCAUUACUGAGAUAUAGUGUCAUAGUGUAAGUAGCGCAUGGGUAAGAAUAAAGAAUAGUUGAAACAGUG